rnacentral:rRNA from 1 species
GAUGAACGCUGGCGGCGUGCCUAAUACAUGCAAGUCGAGCGAACGGACGAGAAGCUUGCUUCUCUGAUGUUAGCGGCGGACGGGUGAGUAACACGUGGAUAACCUACCUAUAAGACUGGGAUAACUUCGGGAAACCGGAGCUAAUACCGGAUAAUAUUUUGAACCGCAUGGUUCAAAAGUGAAAGACGGUCUUGCUGUCACUUAUAGAUGGAUCCGCGCUGCAUUAGCUAGUUGGUAAGGUAACGGCUUACCAAGGCAACGAUGCAUAGCCGACCUGAGAGGGUGGUCGGCCACACUGGAACUGAGACACGGUCCAGACUCCUGCGGGAGGCAGCAGUGGGGAAUCUUCCGCGAUGGGCGAAAGCCUGACGGAGCAACGCCGCGUGAGUGAUGAAGGUCUUCGGAUCGUAAAACUCUGUUAUUAGGGAAGAACAUAUGUGUAAGUAACUGUGCACAUCUUGACGGUACCUAAUCAGAAAGCCACGGCUAACUACGUG